rnacentral:lncRNA from 1 species
UUUUUCAUAAUCUGCAAAAGUAAGUUAAAAGUUAUUCAUUCAAGACUAAAUGUUCAUACAAAUCUGCAUGACACCACAUCAAAAACAAUUUGUCUUUUUCAUUUCUUUCCUUUUCUCCUUUAUCGUCUUCUUUUUUUUACUUCUCUUUCUUCUUUCUUUUCUUUCUCUUUUUUUUGUAAAGGUCUUGAUUAACUAAAGACAAGUUGCUAAUUUUACUGUGAUUAGAAUUUUUAUGAAUCCA